rnacentral:sRNA from 1 species
GACAGCAGCGACGAAGGAGAUCGAUGCAUCUGCCUGUCCUCCUGCCGAUCGUAUGAAGCU